GGGAGGAGCCGGAUCCUGAGCCAUAUCCCGGCGCCCUGUGCUCCCAGUGGGCGCUGUUGGAUUCUGGAUCCCGCCCCGCAGCCCCUU
rnacentral:pre_miRNA from 1 species